rnacentral:rRNA from 1 species
GACGAACGCUGGCGGCGUGCUUAACACAUGCAAGUCGAACGGAAAGGCCCUGCUUUUGUGGGGUGCUCGAGUGGCGAACGGGUGAGUAACACGUGAGUAACCUGCCCUUGACUUUGGGAUAACUUCAGGAAACUGGGGCUAAUACCGGAUAGGAGCUCCUGCUGCAUGGUGGGGGUUGGAAAGUUUCGGCGGUUGGGGAUGGACUCGCGGCUUAUCAGCUUGUUGGUGGGGUAGUGGCUUACCAAGGCUUUGACGGGUAGCCGGCCUGAGAGGGUGACCGGCCACAUUGGGACUGAGAUACGGCCCAGACUCCUACGGGAGGCAGCAGUGGGAAAUAUUGCACAAUGGGCGGAAGCCUGAUGCAGCAACGCCGCGUGCGUGAUGACGGCCUUCGGGUUGUAAACCGCUUUCGCCUGUGACGAAGCGUGAGUGACGGUAAUGGGUAAAGAAGCACCGGCUAACUACGUG